rnacentral:rRNA from 1 species
CACGUAGGCGGCCUGUUAAGUGUGGAGUGAAAUCCCACGGCUCACCCGUGGAACUGCUUCGCAUACUGGCAAGCUCGAGGACGGUAGGGGAGAGCGGAACUCUUGGUGGAGCGGUGAAAUGCGUAGAUAUCAAGAGGAACACCGAUGGCGAAGGCAGCUCUCUGGUCCGUUUCUGACGUUGAGGUGCGAAAGCUAGGGUAGCGAACG